ACCCACGCCCUCCCGUUUAUCGGAAGCCUUUCGGCCGCCGCGAUCUCACACCCAUCUGAUCCUGCUGCUCGCGGGCUCCCUCCGCGGACACGGAAGCGCCAGGAGGUUCGAUCCUGCGCGACUCGAGCGCCAUGAGGAGCGCGGAGCGCGAGAAAGAGAGCGGAGGGGGGAGAGCGGCGACGCGGAAGAGCGAGAAGGACCAGAGUUGGAUACCCAAGAUCAUAAAGAAGAGAGUGUGUACGUCCUUUGUGGAGGAGCCCUCCAGCAAUGGCACAACCUGUCAGUGUGGGGGGCCCCAGGACCUGCACGGCCCGGUCGCCACGGGCGACUGCUUCGGCGCAGCCGUCGUGAGCCAGUGGGAGAGCGCGCAGCACUCCUCCGAGUACCCGACCGACGCCUACGGAGAGCUCGAGUUCGCCGGCGCCGGGCGCAGGAGCAGCCACUUUCUGCGCAUGUCCUGCGACACGCCCCCCCAGGUCAUCUACAGUCUGCUGACAACCCAUUGGAAUGUGCCCCCACCCAACCUGGUGGUGUCAGUGGUGGGGGGUGAGGGCUGCGAGAAGGUGAAGACCUGGGUUCGAGAGGUGCUGAGGCAGGGGCUGGUGAAGGCUGCACAGAGCACAGGUGCCUGGAUCCUCACCUCGGGGCUGAGGGAGGGGGUGGCCCGGUGCGUCGGUGAGGCCGUGAGAGACCAUGCCACGGCCGCCCCUUCCCUCUCCAGAAACAAGGUGAUCGCCCUUGGCGUGGCCCCCUGGGGGAUAGUGCACAACCGGCAGCAGCUGGUGAAUCCACAGGGCAGCUUCCCAGCCAAGUACUACGUGCAGAACACGGUGCAGGACUCCUGUUACCUUGACAACAACUACCAGGCCUUCCUGCUGGUGGACGAUGGCACCGUUGGACGGCGGGGGGCCGAUUCUCGGUUCCGGGCCAAGCUGGAGGACCACAUCUCCCACCAGAAGACGGGCAUCUGGGGCAGCGGAAGCAUCGAGAUCCCAGUGCUGUGCAUGCUCAUUUCGGGGGAGGCGUCCAUGCUGGAGCGCAUGGACCUGUCGCUGAGAACCGCCAUCCCCUGGAUGCUGCUGGCGGGGUCGGGCGGCGUGGCGGAUUUCAUUUGUGACGUCCUGGGGGCCCUGGUGUCCAUGAGCCCUGCCUCGGCGCUGCUGGAGGACGAGUCGGACGGCACCGGCGUAGAGCUGCACGACAGGGUGCGGGAGAGGGUGAAGAAGCACUUUCCUGCGUCGGAGGAGAGGGAGGUGGACAGACUGACUGAGAGGGUUCUGAGCAUCUACCAGAACCGGGACCUCAUCACAGUCUUCAGCGGGGAGCAAGAGGGUCCUGACGACUUUGACACGGUGCUCCUCAAGGCCCUGGUUCGAGCCAGCAAGCGUGUGUCCAGCGACGCCAGUGAGUACACAGAGGAGCUGAAGCUGGCUGUGGCGUGGAACCGAGUGGACAUUGCCAAGACCGAGCUCUUCAACGGGGACAUUCAGUGGAAGUACGACGACCUGAAGGACUCCAUGACGGACGCGUUGGUCAACGACAAGCCCCAGUUUGUGCGUCUCUUCACGGAGAACGGCCUCAACAUCCUAGAGUACCUGACGUACGGCCGCUUGGAGACUCUGUACCGCUCGCUGUCCGACAGCUCGCUCAUCUACACGCUGCUGCAGCGGCACCUUAGCGAACGGCUCAGCGUCUCCAGCUCCGCCCCCAGCGCCCACUGCCACGCCCAGACGGUGACAGAUGGCGGCGGAGGCGAGAUCGUGGACUGGCGGAGCUCCACGGCCUGCCCCAAAUCUGCCAAGGAGCUCAGUUUAUACGAGGUCUCCCAGGUGCUGCUGGACCUCGCAGGGGACAUGUGUCAGCCGUUCUACUACCACGUGUUGGACGUGGAGCUGGGCGUGAGCACCAGGAAGUCCAUGAAGCACGUGAACAAGCUGCUGUUGGGAGAGUGUUCGUACCGCAGCCGGCGCUGCCGAUCCCCCUGGGUGUCGCUCUUCAUCUGGGCCGUCCUGCAGAACCGCCCGGAGAUGGCCGUCUACUUCUGGGAGAUGGCGGGCGAGUCCGUGCUCAGCGCCCUGUGCGGCUGCUACCUCCUCCGGGAGUUGUCCAAGCUGGAGAGCGAGACGGAGACGAAGCUGUCCAUGAAGGAGCUUGCGCAGAAGUUCGAGAACCUGGCCCAUGACGUGUUCAGCGAGUGCUACCAGAGCAGCGAGAGUCGCUCCUUCAAGCUGCUCAUCAAGAAGUCGGUCAUGUGGGGCGGCGCCACGUGUCUCCAGAUGGCCAUUUCCGCCGACGCUCGCCUCUUCUUCAGCCACGACGGCGUGCAGUCUUUGCUCUCUCAGAUCUGGUGGGGCGACAUGGAGAGGAACACGGAGGUGUGGAAACUCGUCGUCACGUUCUUCGUACCGCCUCUCGUGUACACGAGCCUCAUCGCCUUCCGGGAGCCGGAGGAGGAGCCCAGAGCCGAGAAGGUUUCUCACAAGAAAGACAGCGACAGCCUGGAGGGAGCAGAGAUUCUCCAUUCCAUGGGUGACAUCACGCACAUUGACGAAGAGGCUCAUGAACACACUGCUCUCACCAAGACACCUAAAGAGUCCCACAGGUCCUCGGUAAAGCGGCCCUUUGUGGUGACCCGCUGGCGGCGGUUCUGGUUCGCACCCGUCACGUCGUUUCUCGGCAACGUGCUCAUGUACUUCCUGUUCCUCGUCCUGUUUGCCUACAUCCUGCUGAUUGACUUCAGGCCGCCGCCCCCGAAAGGCCCCGCCCCUCUGGAGCUGGUGCUCUACUUCUGGGUCUUCACCCUCGUCUGUGAAGAGCUGCGGCAGACGUUAUUUCUGGGCAACGCCACCGUGGUCCAAAGCAUGAGGAUGUACAUCCAAGACAUGUGGAACAAGUUUGACCUCACGGCCAUUGUUCUCUUCAUCCUGGGACUGUGCUGCAGGAUGUUCAGGAGCUCUUACGAAUUUGGUCGGGCCGUGAUGUGCUUGGACUACAUGGUCUUCACCUUGAGACUCAUCCACAUCUUCGCCGUCCACAAGCAGCUGGGACCGAAGAUCAUCAUCGUGGGCAAGAUGAUGAAGGACAUUUUCUUCUUCCUCUUCUUCCUGGGGGUGUGGCUCGUGGCCUACGGAGUGGCCAAUCAGGCGCUCUUGUAUACCUACGAUUCCCGCCCAGACUGGGUCCUCAGGAGGGUGUUCUACAGGCCUUAUCUCCACAUAUUUGGCCAGAUACCACUGGAGGACAUAGAUGUGGCGAAGGCACGCAAAGAUGAGCAAAACUGCACACACAACACCACGCUCAUCGAGAUGGGGUCAGAGCCCUGCGUGAACCCCUACGCCAACUGGCUGGUCAUUGUGCUGCUUGUGGUCUGCCUGUUGGUCACCAACAUCCUGCUGCUUAACCUGCUCAUCGCCAUGUUCAGUUACACGUUCUCCAAGGUGCAGGAGCACAGUGACAUCUACUGGAAGUUCCAGCGCUACAACCUGAUCGCCGAGUACCACUCGCGGCCCUCGCUCGCACCGCCCUUCAUCCUGCUCUCCCACAUAAACCUCUUGGUGAAGAGGUACAUCCGCAAAGUGCCCUCGCGCAAGAUCCAGCACUUCGGGUUGCUAAGCAACGUGUCCUCUGUCCCGCCGUCCAGAGCUGAACCUAAGCAGUCGGGCGGCCAGCCGGCUGAUGACGUGGGAGGCCGUCCAGAAGGAGAACUUCCUGGUGGCUCGGAACAAGAGGCACAGAGAGAGCGAUUCGGAGAGGCUCAAGCGCACCUCCUCUAAGGUGGACAGCGUUCUAAAGCAGAUGGCCGAGGUUCGAGACCACGACCGCAGGCUCAGACAGAUGGAGUCCGAGCUGGAGUACUGCUCCAGCGCCCUGUCCUGGCUCGUGGAGGCACUAUCUCAGAGUAACCUGAUGAGGUCCACGCGACCUCCGCCAGCCCACCGAGAGUUACUUCCUUCCUCCUGAGCUGCCUGCGCGGUCGCUCCUCACCACGGCGGCGGUCCAGCAUGACCCGAGGACACACCAUGACUAGGACCGCGACCUUUUGCACAUUUUUUAAUGGCUCUUUUCUAGAUGUUUUCACCAGACUGUUGAAAUUAAAUAAAUGACUGUGGUAUGAA